UACGGAGGGUGCAAGCGUUGUCCGGAAUCACUGGGCGUAAAGGGCGCGUAGGCGGCUCAUGAAGGCUGUGGUGAAAGUCCGGGGCUCAACCUCGGAUCGGCCGUGGCGACUCGUGGGCUGGAGCACUGUAGAGGCGGGUGGAAUUCCGGGUGUAGCGGUGGAAUGCGUAGAGAUCCGGAAGAACACCAGUGGCGAAGGCGGCCCGCUGGGCAGUGGCUGACGCUGAGGAGCGAAAGCGUGGGGAGCGAACAGG
rnacentral:rRNA from 1 species